rnacentral:tRNA from 1 species
GCGGGGAAGUCUGCCUGAUGGCGCAGGCCUCAGCUUCGCCAGGCCGGGAGGAAUGAUCCAUGGAGGCUUCCCAAGCUGACAGCGCGGGUUCGAUUCCCGUCACCCGCU